rnacentral:rRNA from 62 species
ACAUGACUCUCGGCAACGGAUAUCUCGGCUCUCGCAUCGAUGAAGAACGUAGCGAAAUGCGAUACCUGGUGUGAAUUGCAGAAUCCCGCGAACCAUCGAGUCUUUGAACGCAAGUUGCGCCCGAGGCCUUUGGGCCGAGGGCACGCCUGCCUGGGCGUCACGC